AUUUAGGGAAGAUUCCAAGGAGAGUGCCUAUCAGCAAGUCCAGUUGAUUUCCAGAAGAUGAGACGAAGAGCAAAGGCAGCCAUCAGCAAGCCAAAAAGAAAGGCCUCAGGAGAAACCAAGCCUGCUGACACCAUGAUCUUGAACUUCCAGCCUCCAGAACUGUGAAAAAUAAACUUCUACUAUUUAAACCACCCAGUAUGUGGCAUUUUGUUAUAGCAGUCCUAGUAGACUGAUAGAAGAUAUAACACAUAUUGGUGGUUAUCAAGGACUAGGGGAGACAGUAACGAUCAAAAACUGCUUUGUGGGUGAGGGGUUUUACUUUGGGGUGAUGGAAAUGGUUUGGAACUAGAUAGAGGUGGUAGUUGCACAACAUUGUGAAUGUGGUAAAUGUCAUUGCAUUGUUCACUUUAAAGUAGUUAAGUUUUCGGAUAUUUUUAAUUGUGGAAAAAUAUACAUAAUAUAAAGUUUACACCUCAG
rnacentral:lncRNA from 1 species